CAAAGUGUAGCUUAAACAAAAGCACCUGGCCUACACCCAGAAGAUUUCAUUAAAAAUGACCACUUUGA